AAAUCAUGUUGAGGGAAACUUCAUAAUAAUUUCUUGUAGCGCUCCCAUGCUUUGUAUAACGACUCCCCCUCUAAUUGUUGGAAAUUUUGUAUAUUCCUCUUAAGUUU